rnacentral:snRNA from 1 species
AUACUUAUCUGGCAGGGGAGACGCCUUGAUCACGAAGGAGGUUUUCCNNGGGCGAGGCUCAGCCAUUGCAUUCUGGCUGUGUGACCCCUGCAGUUUCCCUAAAUGCAGGAAACUCAAAUGGAUAAUUUGUGNUAGUGGGGUACUGCAUGUGUGCUUUCCCCUG